UUAAGCAUAUUAAUUAGGGGAGGAAAAGAAACUAACCAGGAUUUUCUUAGUAGCGGCGAGCGAAAAGAAAUCAGUUCAGCACUAAGUCACUUUGUCUAUAUGGCAAACGUGAGAUGCAGUGUAUGGAGCGUCAAUAUUCUAGUAUGAGAAAUUAACGAUUUAAGUCCUUCUUAAAUGAGGCCAUUUACCCAUAGAGGGUGCCAGGCCCGUAUAACGUUAAUGAUUACUAGAUGAUGUUUCCAAAGAGUCGUGUUGCUUGAUAGUGCAGCACUAAGUGGGUGGUAAACUCCAUCUAAAACUAAAUAUAACCAUGAGACCGAUAGUAAACAAGUACCGUGAGGGAAAGUUGAAAAGAACUCUGAAUAGAGAGUUAAACAGUACGUGAAACUGCUUAGAGGUUAAGCCCGAUUAACCUGAAUAUCCGUUAUGGAAAAUUCAUCAUUAAAGUUGUAAUAUUUUAACAAUAUUAUAAUAAUAGUGUGCAUUUUUUCCAUAUAAGGACAUUGUAAUCUAUUAGCAUAUAACAAAUUUAUCAUAAAAUAUGACUUAUAGUUUAUUCAAAUUAUUAUGCUUGCAUUUAACAUAGAAUAAAUGUCAUUAAUUUGAUAAAGUGUUGAUAAAUUAAAAUUAAUACAGUGCGUUAAUUUUUCGAAAUUAUAUAAUGGCAUAAUUAUCAUUGAUUUUUGUGUUUAUUAUAUGCAUUUGUAUGAUUAACAAUGCGAAAGAUUUAGGAUACCUUCGGGACCCGUCUUGAAACACGGACCAAGGAGUCUAACAUAUGUGCAAGUUAUUGGGAGAUAAACCUAAUAGCGUAAUUAACUUGACUAAUAAUGGGAUUAGUUUUUUAACUAUUUAUAGAUAAUUAACACAAUCCCGGGGCGUUCUAUAUAGUUAUGUAUAAUAAUAUUUAUAUUAUUUAUGCCUCUAACUGGAACGUACCUUGAGCAUAUAUGCUGUGACCCGAAAGAUGGUGAACUAUACUUGAUCAGGUUGAAGUCAGGGGAAACCCUGAUGGAAGACCGAAACAGUUCUGACGUGCAAAUCGAUUGUCAGAAUUGAGUAUAGGGGCGAAAGACCAAUCGAACCAUCUAGUAGCUGGUUCCUUCCGAAGUUUCCCUCAGGAUAGCUGGUGCAUUUUAAUGUUAUAUAAAAUAAUCUUAUCUGGUAAAGCGAAUGAUUAGAGGCCUUAGGGUCGAAACGAUCUUAACAUAUUCUCAAACUUUAAAUGGGUAAGAACCUUAACUUUCUUGAUAUGAAGUUUAAGGUUAUGAUAUAAUGUUCCCAGUGGGCCACCUUUGGUAAGCAGAACUGGCGCUGUGGGAUGAACCAAACGUAAUGUUACGGUGCCCAAAUUAACAACUCAUGCAGAAACCAUGAAAGGCGUUGGUUGCUUAAAACAGCAGGACGGUGAUCAUGGAAGUCGAAAUCCGCUAAGGAGUGUGUAACAACUCACCUGCCGAAGCAACUAGCCCUUAAAAUGGAUGACGCUUAAGUUGUAUACCUAUUCAUUACCGCUAAAGUAGAUGAUUUAUAUUACUUGUGAUAUAAAUUUUGAAACUUUAGUGAGUAGGAAGGUACAAUGGUAUGCGUAGAAGUGUUUGGCGUAAGCCUUCAUGGAGCUGCCAUUGGCACAGAUCUUGGUGGUAGUAGCAAAUAAUCGAAUGAGACCUUGGAGGACUGAAGUGGAGAAGGGUUUCGUGUGAACAGUGGUUGAUCACGAGUUAGUCGGUCCUAAGUUCAAGGCGAAAGCCGAAAAUUUUCAAGUACAAAAUCAGUGAGUAAUAUUGUCAAAUCUUUUAUGAUUUUUAAAUACUUGAAUAAUUUUGAACGAAAGGGAAUACGGUUCCAAUUCCGUAACCUGUUGAGUAUCCGUUUGUUAUUAAAUAUGGGCCUCGUGCUCAUAGAUGGUAGAUGGGCUAGAAGAGCAUGACAUAUACUGUUGUGUCGAUAUGUCUCCUCGGACCUUGAAAAUUUAUGGUGGGGACACGCAAACUUCUCAACAGGCCGUACCAAUAUCCGCAGCUGGUCUCCAAGGUGAAGAGUCUCUAGUCGAUAGAAUAAUGUAGGUAAGGGAAGUCGGCAAAUUAGAUCCGUAACUUCGGGAUAAGGAUUGGCUCUGAAGAUUGAGAUAGUCGGGCUUGAUUGGGAAACGAUAACACGGUUUAUGUGCUCGUUCUGGGUAAAUAGAGUUUCUAUCAUUUAUGGUAGUUACUUGUUCCCCGGAUAGUUUAGUUACGUAGCCAAUUGUGGAACUUUCUUGCUAAAAUUUUUAAGAAUACUAAUUGGGUUAAACCAGUUAGUUCUUAUUAAUUAAACGAUUAUCAAUUAACAAUCAAUUCAGAACUGGCACGGACUUGGGGAAUCCGACUGUCUAAUUAAAACAAAGCAUUGUGAUGGCCCUAGCGGGUGUUGACACAAUGUGAUUUCUGCCCAGUGCUCUGAAUGUCAAAGUGAAGAAAUUCAAGCAAGCGCGGGUCAACGGCGGGAGUAACUAUGACUCUCUUAAAUGCCCUACCAUCGAGGUCUCGUACCACGAGGGGCAGAAAUGAAUUGGAACGGCAAUGUCGUGCAGGUUGUGAUGCUCCCGAAACAACAAACCACAUCCUGCAAAAUUGUUACCGUACGCAUGGGAGGCGGGUAGCAAGACAUAACUGUGUAGUCAAUAACCUUAAGAGGAUUCUUGAGGAGAAGGGCCACACAGUGCACGUCGAACCAAGUUUGCAGCUGGAAACCUCGGUAAGUAAACCAGACCUGGUGUGUAUCCGUGACAAUCACGCUUGCGUGAUUGAUGCGCAGAUCAUAACAGAUGGAAGUUUCUCGACGAUGUGCACCAUCGCAAAGUUGAGAAAUAUAAAAGACCUGAAGUUAUUUCUGCACUGCGGAGGGAAUUCGGAGUGUCGGGAAACGUCGAAGUCCUAUCCGCGACGUUAAACUGGCGUGGGAUCUGGAGCAAUCAAUCCGUUAGAAGAUUGAUAGCAAAGGGUCUCAUCUCAUCCGGUGACAGCAAUGUCAUCAGCGCCAGAGUGGUAACAGGCGGACUAUAUUGCUUCAGACAGUUCAUUUAUCUCGCAGGUUACACUCGAGAUUGGACUUAGCCUAUACACUAUGUUGGAGAGAAGACGCUUGCUACCUAGGCAUAAUGUGAAAUUAGGUAUAUACAUCGUGGUUGUAAAACUUGAGGUGGGUUUUUAGUACGUAUGCGUGAUUACUUCGUUAUAAUGAAUCGUGCAUGCUAGUGGGGUUUGGCCUCCACUAGUAUCUUUGAAGAUUUUCCUUCCUCAGCGAUCAAAAAAAAAAAAA
rnacentral:rRNA from 1 species